rnacentral:rRNA from 1 species
GUGGGGAAUAUUGCACAAUGGGCGAAAGCCUGAUGCAGCAACGCCGCGUGAGGGACGACGGCCUUCGGGUUGUAAACCUCUUUUAGUAGGGAAGAAGCGAAAGUGACGGUACCUGCAGAAAAAGCACCGGCUAACUACGUGCCAGCAGCCGCGGUAAUACGUAGGGUGCAAGCGUUAUCCGGAAUUAUUGGGCGUAAAGAGCUCGUAGGCGGUCUGUCGCGUCUGCUGUGAAAACUGGAGGCUCAACCUCCAGCCUGCAGUGGGUACGGGCAGACUAGAGUGCGGUAGGGGAGAUUGGAAUUCCUGGUGUAGCGGUGGAAUGCGCAGAUAUCAGGAGGAACACCGAUGGCGAAGGCAGAUCUCUGGACCGUAACUGACGCUGAGGAGCGAAAGCGUGGGGAGCGAACAGGAUUAGAAACCCUGGUAGUCC